rnacentral:lncRNA from 1 species
AGGGAAAGGGAAAGAGAGAGAAAGACAAUGAGGAGAAGGAUAUCCAAACAAAGAAAACCAAACACUCAACAAAAUAUCAAUAAUGCUUUUAUGUAGUGUAAAAUCACUUUUAAAUAUGACAUCCGAACGACAAACAGGUUCUUUGUAGAAGCGCGCUACUGGCAUAAGCGCUUUAGGAAGAAGCACUUCAGAGCUCUUAAAUGGGCUUUCACCUGGCUCUUUCUUGUUGGCCGUUUUCACUUUUGUCAUCAUUUGCAUCAAAGAAGAGAUGGAUGAAGGAGUAGUAGGUUGGUGCAAC